UACGUAGGGUGCGAGCGUUGUCCGGAAUUAUUGGGCGUAAAGAGCUCGUAGGCGGCCUGUCGCGUCGGAUGUGAAAGCCCGGGGCUUAACCCCGGGUCUGCAUUCGAUACGGGCAGGCUGGAGUGUGGUAGGGGAGAUCGGAAUUCCUGGUGUAGCGGUGAAAUGCGCAGAUAUCAGGAGGAACACCGGUGGCGAAGUCGGAUCUCUGGGCCAUUACUGACGCUGAGGAGCGAAAGCGUGGGGAGCGAACAGG
rnacentral:rRNA from 1 species